rnacentral:rRNA from 1 species
UACGUAGGCAGCAAGCGUUGUUCGGAGUUACUGGGCGUAAAGGGUGUGUAGGCGGCCUGUUAAGUUCCGUGUGAAAUCUCCCGGCUCAACCGGGAGGGUGCGCGGAAAACUGGCGGGCUAGAGUGCGGGAUGGGAGAGUAGAAUUCCUGGUGUAGCGGUGAAAUGAGUAGAUAUCAGGAGGAAUACCGGUGGUGUAGACGGCUCUCUGGACCGCAACUGACGCUGAAACACGAAAGCGUGGGUAGCAAACAGG